rnacentral:rRNA from 1 species
AUUGAACGCUGGCGGCAGGCCUAACACAUGCAAGUCGAACGAGUGGCGGACGGGUGAGUAAUGUCUGGGAAACUGCCUGAUGGAGGGGGCUAACUACUGGAAACGGUAGCUAAUACCGCAUACCAUCGGAUGUGCCCAGAUGGGAUUAGCUAGUAGGUGGGGUAAAGGCUAACCUAGGCGACGAUCCAUAGCUGGUCUGAGAGGUUGACCAGCCACACUGGAACGAGGACACGGUCCAGACUCCUAGGGGAGGCAGCAGUGGGGAAUAUUGCACAAUGGGCGCAAGCCUGAUGCAGCCAUGCCGGGUGUAUGAAGAAGGCCUUCGGGUUGUAAAGUACUUUCAGCGGGGAGGCGUUACCCGCAGAAGAAGCACCGGCGAACUCCGUGCCAGCAGCCGCGGUAAUC